rnacentral:rRNA from 1 species
UACGGAGGGUGCGAGCGUUGUCCGGAAUCAUUGGGCGUAAAGCGCGUGUAGGCGGCCAGGUAGGUCCGAUGUGAAAUCUGGAGGCUCAACCUCCAGCGGUCAUUGGAAACCAUUUGGCUAGAGUCCGGAAGAGGAGAGUGGAAUUCCUGGUGUAGCGGUGAAAUGCGCAGAUAUCAGGAAGAACACCAAUGGCGAAGGCAGCUCUCUGGGACGGUACUGACGCUGAGACGCGAAAGCGUGGGGAGCGAACAGG